rnacentral:antisense_RNA from 1 species
CUUCAGCGAGCCGAGCAGCAGCGGUCGGCCGUCCGCGCGGUCCUGCCCGUAGGUGGCCAGCAGGGCCUGGGCCUC